rnacentral:sRNA from 1 species
CGGUGUCGGAUGUCUUCCUCCUCCCAGACACCGACGAGGAAUGCGGUGCACCUCCUCCCGCGCCGUAUUCGAAAUCGAGCCCGCUGCCUCCUCCUCCCGGCAGCGGGCUUUUCU